CAUGUUUUAUAUUAAGAGAUUCUGAAGUCUAUAAUAAUAAUUGUAAUUAUUUAUUUAUUGUAUAUCCACAAAAUUCUAUUCAGCAGUUAGAAAAAAGCGCAUGAAAUUGUUUUGCACAGAAAUUUUGCAAAACAUUCACUUGAUAUACUAGGAAAAAUAAGUUGAAAAAGGUGACUCACUGCCUAUCGUACGAAUUAAGCAAUUUAUCAAGCGUGAUUUUUCAGUAAUAACCGCUACUGCUUAUUUUCAAAAGAUGACUAUCAAGAUAUUAUGGCCCUUCCUAGUCAUAACAUCUCUAGCAUCAUAAAUAUGUCCCCUCAAGUAGCCGUUGUUGAGGGGGCUCAGCGCUAUAUGGUACCAAGGACUGACAAAUAAUAAUUUUCACCCCAAGGACUCUGAGCAAACAGGUACCACAGAAUCCACUACCCUCAAAGCAUCAGUUUCAACCGAAGCCCAGACUAAUCUUUUGACAAGGCCUGUCUCAAAUGUCGCAGCAUCAGUGGUGCAGAGAAAAAUAAGGAGAAGGGAGCCAAAAUUGCUCAGUUCAUUAAGUUGUCUCCACCUCCAAAACACCCGUGACUUCCAACCCCAAGAUCUAGGCAAAACCUGUUAAGAAGCCAAGAACCCAUGGCUUUACGCCAAUAAUGGGUAUAUAAAUUUAUCACACCCAUUUUGUUAUCUAAUACAGUUUAUAUAAAUAAGAACAUCACAAUAUUGAUAAAAAUAUUUAUUAAACCCAUUUGAAAUA